UAUUGAGGGUAUUGCCUCAGUUACGGCGAGUGAAGCGGCAAAAGCUCAAAUUUGAAAUCUGGCACUUUCAGUGUCCGAGUUGUAAUUUGUAGAAGUAGUUUUGGGACUGGUCCUUAUCUAUGUUUCUUGGAACACGACGUCAUAGAGGGUGAGAACCCCGUAUGAUGUGGCCCCCAGUCCUUUGUAAAACGCUUUCGAAGAGUCGAGUUGUUUGGGAAUGCAGCUCUAAGUGGGUGGUAAAUUCCAUCUAAAGCUAAAUAUUGGCGAGAGACCGAUAGCGAACAAGUACAGUGAUGGAAAGAUGAAAAGAACUUUGAAAAGAGAGUGAAAAAGUACGUGAAAUUGUUGAAAGGGAAGGGCAUUUGAUCAGACAUGGUGUUUUGCGCCCUUUGCUCCUUGUGGGCGGAGGAUACGCAGCUCACUGGGCCAACAUCAGUUUUGGGAGCAGGAUAAAUCUGUAGGAACGUAGCUUUCUUCGGGAAGUGUUAUAGCCUAUGGGAAUACUGCUACCUGGGACUGAGGACUGCGUCUUUUGACAAGGAUGUUGGCAUAAUGGUUAAAUGCCGCCCGUCUUG
rnacentral:rRNA from 1 species